ensembl:lncRNA
GGAUUAUAUAUAUAUACUUAUAUAUAUUUUUUUUGCUCAGUUUCCUUCGUAACUUUUUGAUUUUGUUUUUUUGUUGCCAUUCUCUUAUGUGGUGUUAUCAACGGUGAAAAACAAAUGAAGGACUUUCCUGAAGUGAGUCUAAAAAAAGAUACACUGAGGCCAUGUUUUUUGUCCUUUUUACUGCGCGAUGGAAGGUGCAUGAGCUUGUGUCUGCGUGUGUGAGAGACCGAAUGUCUGCGCACAUUUAUUAAUGUGUAACAUGGAACUACUUUUGGCUGACGAAGGAAACCAUUUAGAUUUCGCCAGUUUCGGUACUGAAAAUAUAAGUCCCCCGUUCCAUUCUGGUCUUAAAAUUCCCCUUUUUCCCAUUACACAUUUCAAAUCAGCAUUUCACCGGUGGGGGAGAGACCGUGUUUUAACACACAGGCUUCGAUGCUCUCUGCAACCCCACACGUUUUAUUGUUUUGUACACACCCAGUGACUAAAUGUAACAAUGACCAGAGGGAUUCUGGAGGAGAAGCCAGACAUGGAACAGGGCCUUCCCAGACAGUCCUGCAGAGAGGACUUCUGUCGAGACCACAGCGUCUAGCAGCAAACGACUAGCUGCUGUAACUACAAUAAUAACAUUUAUUUUCUUUAUUUCCCCCUAUGGGAUCCAUGGGAUGAAUCUCACGAUAGAUAUCUUCAGCACAAUUUCAUCGAUCACUGCAGAUUUGAUUAGAAAAUUCUAGACAAAGGUCAGACAAAGUACCUCUCUUAAGGCUAUCUGGGACAAGACAUGAAACUACUACUGCUGGACACCAACACUGUAACUUUUUAUCUUACAACAAAGCAAUAAGUUAUUUUUUACCUUACAAAUGAUAAUAAAACUAUUAUUGGUGAUAUGCGAUGAUGUUGACAAUUCUGCGGCAUUAAGACUUAUUUUCAAAAAAAAAGUAACUAUAUUUUUCUGUUUUCAAGUCUUGUUCCCCGUGUACAGUAAUUUUGAAGCUGUUCUUGUUUGUGUUGACGUCAGGAAAAUGGCCUAUGUUUUGAGUAGAGCUGAAAACUCUGGCUAUGAGCCCUUGAACAACAGUUGACUUAAACUAUCAUUUGGGGCUGUUUUAUACCAAGCUUUAUCACAAUGUUGUUUUUUUUUCCUCUUUGGAAAUUUCGAUUUUAAAAUUCCUAAUAAAUUAUUCUAAAG